GGUUGUGGAAAGUUUUUUCGGUUGGGGAUGGGCUCGCGGCCUUAUCAGUUUGUUGGUGAGGUAAUGGCUCACCAAGACGACGACGGGUAGCCGGCCUGAGAGGGCGACCGGCCACACUGGGACUGAGACACGGCCCAGACUCCUACGGGAGGCAGCAGUGGGGAAUAUUGCACAAUGGGGGAAACCCUGAUGCAGCGACGCAGCGUGCGGGAUGACGGCCUUCGGGUUGUAAACCGCUUUCAGCAAGGAAGAAGCCUUUCGGGGUGACGGUACCUGCAGAAGAAGUACCGGCUAACUACGUGCCAGCAGCCGCGGUAAUACGUAGGGUACAAGCGUUGUCCGGAAUUAUUGGGCGUAAAGAGCUCGUAGGUGGUUGGUCACGUCUGCUGUGGAAACGCAACGCUUAACGUUGCGCGUGCAGUGGGUACGGGCUGACUAGAGUGCAGUAGGGGAGUCUGGAAUUCCUGGUGUAGCGGUGAAAUGCGCAGAUAUCAGGAGGAACACCGGUGGCGAAGGCGGGACUCUGGGCUGUAACUGACACUGAGGAGCGAAAGCAUGGGGAGCGAACAGGAUUAGAUACCCUGGUAGUCCAUGCCGUAAACGUUGGGCACUAGGUGUGGGGGACAUUCCACGUUCUCCGCGCCGUAGCUAACGCAUUAAGUGCCCCGCCUGGGGAGUACGGUCGCAAGGCUAAAACUCAAAGGAAUUGACGGGGGCCCGCACAAGCGGCGGAGCAUGCGGAUUAAUUCGAUGCAACGCGAAGAACCUUACCAAGGCUUGACAUACACCAGACCGUUCUGGAAACAGUUCCUCCCCUUUGGGGUUGGUGUACAGGUGGUGCAUGGUUGUCGUCAGCUCGUGUCGUGAGAUGUUGGGUUAAGUCCCGCAACGAGCGCAACCCUCGUUCUAUGUUGCCAGCACGUGAUGGUGGGAACUCAUAGGAGACUGCCGGGGUCAACUCGGAGGAAGGUGGGGAUGACGUCAAAUCAUCAUGCCCUUUAUGUCUUGGGCUUCACGCAUGCUACAAUGGCUGGUACAGAGAGAUGCGAGACCGCGAGGUUUUAGCGAAUCCCUUAAAGCCAGUCUCAGUUCGGAUCGUAGUCUGCAAUUCGACUACGUGAAGUCGGAGUCGCUAGUAAUCGCAGAUCAGCAACGNGCG
rnacentral:rRNA from 1 species